AGCGAACGCUGGCGGCAGGCUUAACACAUGCAAGUCGAACGGGCAUAGCAAUAUGUCAGUGGCAGACGGGUGAGUAACGCGUGGGAACGUACCUUUUGGUUCGGAACAACACAGGGAAACUUGUGCUAAUACCGGAUAAGCCCUUACGGGGAAAGAUUUAUCGCCGAAAGAUCGGCCCGCGUCUGAUUAGCUAGCUGGUAGGGUAAUGGCCUACCAAGGCGAGGAACAGUAGCUGGUCUGAGAGGAUGAUCCGCCACAUUGAGACUGAGACACGGCCGAAACUCCUACGGGAGGCAGCAGUGGGGAAUAUUGGACAAUGGGCGAAAGCAUGAUCCAGCCAUGCCGGGUGAGUGAUGAAGGCCCUAGGGUUGUAAAGCUCUUUUGUGCGGGAAGAUAAUGACGGUACCGAAAGAAUAAGCCACGGCUAACUUCGUG
rnacentral:rRNA from 1 species